AUGGGAUUCUGCAUUUUCUUGAUGGUAUGGAGACCUCUACCCAGCUCAUGUGCUUUGAGUGAAGCUGUUCCUACUUCCAUUUCCCAGAGGACCCAAACUGGCUUAUAUAAAUUUUAUUUCCAUGGGUAUGAUCAUUGGUUCAUAGGUUGCCUCGGGACCAAAAUUAGACCCUUCAAAAUGAAUUUUAGUACUUAUACUCAAAAUUUUGGGCAGAAGUACAUUCUUACCUUGUACAGGAAAAAGAAAGUAUAUCUCAUAUCCAUUAAAGGAGCCAGUUUCAGAGUUAGGGGUACACCAUAAUUGACAGAAUGGAGAGAUCGAAAACAACUGGUAAAGUGGGUCCAUCAUGACAAAGGUAAGCUGGUCAACCAACUUUGAACUUUCCAGAUUCGUGAGCCCUUCCUUCAUUGUUUGUUUCUAGUGAGAGAAAUCUUUCUGAUAUAAUUUUCUUCUGUAAAAUGAAAUAUAACUUCUCUUGAUAUGUUAAAAUAAAUAGCUGGUUGUUUAGCUUUAAGGAAAAGACUAAAGAAAAAGUACAAAUUUUAAUAAUCAAAAUGAUUUCAUGAAACAGAAUGCAAAAGAAAUAAAAAAUUGAUAAUAGGUUGGAGUUGAAAAUAUUCCAAUAAAUAAACUACAGAUCUUCAGAGAUGUAUCUGAUACUGCUCCUCUGUAGAAAUUGUAAUAAUAGGAAAUGGAAAUUUUGUUGUGUCAGAUAACAAAGACACUUACAAAUAAUGGGUCAUAUCAGUUAUACUCAAGAUUACAUAAUGUAUGGUAUUUAUUUUUAAAUAAUCUAUGAGAGGUAUGAAAAAGUAUACACAACUAAAGACUGAUCAUGAAUUGAUAACUGCCAAAGCUGGGUAACACAUAUUUGGCAGUUCAUUAAACAUUUCUCUAUUUUUUUAUGUUUUAAAUUUUCCCUAAUAAAAUAGAAAAAAUAGGAACAAACUUGGAAGGGCUCUUAUUGGCCCAAGAUGAAACAAUUUAUACAUUAAAAAGAAUAAUCAUUGCAAUUAAUUAAAAAGCAUCAAAAUCUCCAAAGUCCUUGCCAAUGGAAGUUGCUACAAUGCCCACUCAAUAUGUCAAAAAUUGAUAAAAGAAUCAAGAAUUUAUUCUGACUCUCAUUUACAAAUUGUAUCUUAAGAUACGAUAUCUAUGUACAUGCUAUUCCUAGAUUUCCCUUGGAGAAAGACCAUGCCAUUUUACUGUAAGGAUACAACUGACAGCCUCCAGAUGUUAGCACCUAUGGGAUCCACAACCACUUUUGAGCACAGGCAGCCUUCUUCUAGGUAGUCCUGGGCCAAAGGCUGAGCAGAAGACAGGAAUUAGUGACAGGCUUUUCUACUUAAUGUGUAAUCUAUUUCAUAGCUCCCCACUGGGCUGGGCAAGACUGCCAAAUACAUUUCAUGGUCAGAGAUUCUGUUUUCCUUGCCCAUCCAAUAUGACUUCCUCCUCUUUUUAUUUUCCACAGGUAUUACCUCUCAAUAAAUCUCUUAAACUUCUAUAUCUCAGCUUCUGUUUUCUUUG
rnacentral:lncRNA from 1 species